CGCGGGAUUUGCCUNACUGAGUAACAGCCGCCGCGGUAAUACAGAGGUCCCAAGCGUUGUUCGGAUUCACUGGGCGUAAAGGGUGCGUAGGUGGCGAGGUAAGUCGGAUGUGAAAGCUCGGAGCUCAACUCCGANNUGGCAUUGGAAACUACCUNGCUCGAGGGUUGGAGGGGGGACUGGAAUUCUCGGUGUAGCAGNGAAAUGNGUAGAUAUCGAGAGGAACANCAGUUGCGAAGG
rnacentral:rRNA from 1 species